rnacentral:rRNA from 1 species
UGGGGAAUUUUGGACAAUGGGGGCAACCCUGAUCCAGCCAUGCCGCGUGAGUGAAGAAGGCCUUCGGGUUGUAAAGCUCUUUCGGACGGGACGAAAUGGUUAGCGUGAAUAACGCUGACUGAUGACGGUACCGUAAUAAGAAGCACCGGCUAACUACGUGCCAGCAGCCGCGGUAAUACGUAGGGUGCGAGCGUUAAUCGGAAUUACUGGGCGUAAAGCGUGCGCAGGCGGUUGUGUAAGUCAGAUGUGAAAUCCCCGGGCUCAACCUGGGAAUUGCAUUUGAGACUGCACGGCUAGAGUGUGUCAGAGGGGGGUAGAAUUCCACGUGUAGCAGUGAAAUGCGUAGAUAUGUGGAGGAAUACCGAUGGCGAAGGCAGCCCCCUGGGAUAACACUGACGCUCAUGCACGAAAGCGUGGGGAGCAAACAGGAUUAGAUACCCUUGUAGUCCCUGAGCGGGCUGGCAAGGCGCAU